rnacentral:rRNA from 1 species
GACAGCAGUCGCCGCGGGAAUACAGAGGGUGCGAGCGUUAAUCGGAUUUACUGGGCGUAAAGCGUGCGUAGGCGGCUUCUUAAGUCGGAUGUGAAAUCCCUGAGCUUAACUUAGAAAUUGCAUUCGAUACUGGGAAGCUAGAGUAUGGGAGAGGAUGGUAGAAUUCCAGGUGUAGCGGUGAAAUGCGUAGAGAUCUGGAGGAAUACCGAUGGCGAAGGCAGCCAUCUGGCCUAAUACUGACGCUGAGGUACGAAAGCAUGGGGAGCAAACAGGAUUAGAUACCCCCGUAGUCCCUGUCUCUUAUAC